GACGUAGGGCGCGAGCGUUGUCCGGAUUUAUUGGGCGUAAAGAGCUCGUAGGCGGCUUGUCGCGUCGACCGUGAAAACUUGGGGCUCAACCCCAAGCCUGCGGUCGAUACGGGCAGGCUCGAGUUCGGUAGGGGAGACUGGAAUUCCUGGUGUAGCGGUGAAAUGACGCAGAUAUCAGGAGGAACACCGAUGGCGAAGGCAGGUCUCUGGGCCGAUACUGACGCUGAGGAGCGAAAGCGUGGGGAGCGAACAGG
rnacentral:rRNA from 1 species